rnacentral:rRNA from 1 species
AUGACGAGGCACUACGGUGCUGAAGCAACAAAUGCCCUGCUUCCAGGAAAAGCCUCUAAGCAUCAGGUAACAUCAAAUCGUACCCCAAACCGACACAGGUGGUCAGGUAGAGAAUACCAAGGCGCUUGAGAGAACUCGGGUGAAGGAACUAGGCAAAAUGGUGCCGUAACUUCGGGAGAAGGCACGCUGACACGUAGGUGAAGUGAUUUACUCAUGGAGCUGAAGUCAGUCGAAGAUACCAGCUGGCUGCAACUGUUUAUUAAAAACACAGCACUGUGCAAACACGAAAGUGGACGUAUACGGUGUGACGCCUGCCCGGUGCCGGAAGGUUAAUUGAUGGGGUCAGCGCAAGCGAAGCUCCUGAUCGAAGCCCCGGUAAACGGCGGCCGUAACUAUAACGGUCCUAAGGUAGCGAAAUUCCUUGUCGGGUAAGUUCCGACCUGCACGAAUGGCGUAAUGAUGGCCAGGCUGUCUCCACCCGAGACUCAGUGAAAUUGAACUCGCUGUGAAGAUGCAGUGUACCCGCGGCAAGACGGAAAGACCCCGUGAACCUUUACUAUAGCUUGACACUGAACAUUGAGCCUUGAUGUGUAGGAUAGGUGGGAGGCUUUGAAGUGUGGACGCCAGUCUGCAUGGAGCCGACCUUGAAAUACCACCCUUUAAUGUUUGAUGUUCUAACGUGGACCCGUUACCCGGGUUGCGGACAGUGUCUGGUGGGUAGUUUGACUGGGGCGGUCUCCUCCUAAAGAGUAACGGAGGAGCACGAAGGUUGGCUAAUCCUGGUCGGACAUCAGGAGGUUAGUGCAAUGGCAUAAGCCAGCCUGACUGCGAGCGUGACGGCGCGAGCAGGUGCGAAAGCAGGUCAUAGUGAUCCGGUGGUUCUGAAUGGAAGGGCCAUCGCUCAACGGAUAAAAGGUACUCCGGGGAUAACAGGCUGAUACCGCCCAAGAGUUCAUAUCGACGGCGGUGUUUGGCACCUCGAUGUCGGCUCAUCACAUCCUGGGGCUGAAGUAGGUCCCAAGGGUAUGGCUGUUCGCCAUUUAAAGUGGUACGCGAGCUGGGUUUAGAACGUCGUGAGACAGUUCGGUCCCUAUCUGCCGUGGGCGCUGGAGAACUGAGGGGGGCUGCUCCUAGUACGAGAGGACCGGAGUGGACGCAUCACUGGUGUUCGGGUUGUCAUGCCAAUGGCACUGCCCGGUAGCUAAAUGCGGAAGAGAUAAGUGCUGAAAGCAUCUAAGCACGAAACUUGCCCCGAGAUGAGUUCUCCCUGAGACUUAGAGUCUCCUGAAGGAACGUUGAAGACGACGACGUUGAUAGGCCGGGUGUGUAAGCGCAGCGAUGCGUUGAGCUAACCGGUACUAAUGAACCGUGAGGCUUAACCUUACAACGCCGAAG